CCCAAAAGCUCAAUACAGUGAUCUGCACCCAGUGAGCAUUCAAUAAAUACCAAUGAUUGAAUCUUUCUUUUUUAAAAAUUUUUUAUACAGCUUGGAUGGCAGGGAAUCUUUCCCACGAGUGUUCUCACCAGAAGUGAAAUCUCAAGUAUGUUCAUUGCAGAGUUCAUAUCCAAACUCAGUCAUAAAAGGUUUCGAGACAGUAAGAUCUGCAAAGGAUACAGAAAGCGGUAUCCUGAAUUCUAUCCUCCCCACUUUCUGUACAACUUUGGGGGAAGUAAAUCUCUCGUUGUAAAACUGAAGUGUGUGGGGCUUAACAUUAAAUUUGGUGAGCC
rnacentral:lncRNA from 1 species